UAGACAGAUGCCUUCUGGUUUAGGCGCUUAGCUGUUAACUAAGUUUUUGUAGGAUCGAGGCCUACCUGUCUAG
rnacentral:tRNA from 1 species